rnacentral:lncRNA from 1 species
AUUUCUUGGGCCGCUCCCGAGGCAUAUGGAGGUUCCCAGGCUAGGGGUUGAAUCGGAGCUGUAGCCACCGGCCUACGCCAGAGCCACAGCAACUCGGGAUCCGAGCCGCGUCUGCAACCUACACCACAGCUCACGGCAACGCCAGAUUGUUAACCCACUGCACAAGGCCAGGGAUCGAACCCGCAACCUCAUGGUUCCUAGUCAGAUUCGUUAACCACUGCGCCACGACGGGAACUCCUGGCCCUGUUCUAAACGCUUUCCUUGUAGUAACUUACUUAAAUCUCACUGCUUUUGACCUGGCCUCCAGAGACCCCUUGGUCCCACAGCAGCUCACCUCCCUGCGGCCUUGAGAAAGGGACGGGCUGUAAUAGGAACGACGCCCCCCAAGUUGUGCCAUCCAAAACCUGUCCGAUGGGACAUGGCCCCCUGCUGAGCUGGGCCAUGCGACCCCCUUGCUCUGUACAGGACUUACGUGAAGCCUCUCUCUCACAAAUGAGGCUGCCCCUUUCUCUUCCAGAGUCUGUGGGCCAUCUGCACAUUUUAUCAUUCAUUAAUCGACAUGUGGUCAAAAGCUCGUUUCUCUUCCGUGCCGUUGCCUCCCUGGGGGUCACCGUCGUCGUCGCAGAGCUGAGGGUGUGCUGCCCAGGGAGAGGCUGACGGGGAAUUGAGGGACCUGAGGACGUGGUGGGUUCCACGCAGCGCCCACGGUCUUCGGUUGGUAGUAGCCCUUGUUUGGGGUUUGCAGUACGUGUGCACCGGCGUGAGGUGCCCUGGGCUUUUAGGGAACAUGUAAUUACAGUGUGGUUUAUCUCAUAUAACAAUUAGGCUGAGCAUCAGAGAAGAUAAAGGGAGAAGGGCCCCAGGCACGAGGCCGGGACGCCACCAUCCGCGUACACAAGCCGUCCAGCCCCGAAGAAAACACUGCCAGGCUCAAGCUACUGCCUACAUUGGACAGAGGAGGGCAUGCAUCCUUGGAAAUUGCUCCUGAGUCCAAACCCAGCUCAGGGGUGAGAACUAUGGUCUUUUUGUUUGACAGCACACAUCAGAAACCUUAUCUUCCCUCUGAACCAGUAAGACACCCCUCGGAAUUGACUCCAAUGAAAGAAUCAGAGAUUGGCCUAAAGAACAUGUAGACGGAUGUUCGCUGCAACUUUAAUCUCUGAUAUUAUCAGUCUUCUGCUGCUGCUGCUUUUUUUAGGGCCGCACCUGUGGCGUAUGAAGUUCCCAGGCUAGGGGUCGAAUCGGAGCUGUAGCUGCCGGCCUACACCGCAGCCACAGCAACGCAGGAUCCGAGCCGGGUCUGUGACCUACACCAGAGCUCACAGCAACACCAGAUCCUAACCCACUGAGCCACGAUGGGAACCCCCUGUAUUAUCAUUAGUUAUAAUUGAGAAUGGAAAAAAAUAACAUCUUCAGUGACCACCGGGGAAAUAACGAGGUAAACAUGGACAGAUCCAAAUAACAGGAAAACGGGCAGCCACUGAUAAUCAAGUGCGCAAAAUACCUGUGACACGGGAAAAUGUUCCUGAUGUGCCCAGAGGAAAAUAAAGGAGUGGGCAACUACGUAUCUAGUAAAACUCAUUCCUAAGCAGACGUGUGGAUACACACAGAAAACAGCGGAAGGAAAUGCGCCAAAGCAUUAACCGGAGCUGUGGCCAGGUGGUCGGAAAGCGGGAGAUUUUCUUUCUCCCUUCUUUAUACACAGGGAUCUUUUUUCAAAUAUAUUAUAAUGAACAUAUGUUAUUUUAAUACUCAGAGACAAGUAUCGCUUGUCUCAAAUCCUGCUCAGGCCAUAGCAAACUCAACCUCGACCCACUGAGUGAGGCCAGGGAUCGAACCUGCGUCCUCGUGGAUACUAGUGGGUUUCUCAACCUGCUGAGCCACAGUGGGAAUCCAGACACACACUUUCUUCAACCACCAUCACUCAGCCAAUUUCUGCAUCUCGGAAACAACGCCGGCAGCUCUGCUGACUGAGGUGCAGGGGGCGGCGGGCAGCCCCACCCAGACAGCAGGUGUCAAGAGCGAGUCCUCACUAACAGGUGGGCCGGCCCUUCCCAACCAUCUGGCAGGACGGCUCAGACCCGAGGAAACAGAAGCCCAGGGCUGCAAAGCCAGCGAGAGAGGAUGGGAAGGGCGCAGGUGCAUGCAGGUGCAUGAUCACGAGAAGCUCAAAGCUCUCCGCACGAGGCCCUCCUUGGGAUCUCGCUGCCUGUUCACACAGCUCCUCCCACGUCGCAAAGUCCAUCCACAUCCAGACCUCACAGCCACCUGCACACAAGGCAUAAUGCUGUUCCUUCCUUCAGGUGUGCUCUGGACUCUGGUAAGGGCAGCUGGUGCACUGCGGGGCUCACAGAGUCCUCUGGAGGCCAGGUCGAGGAGGAGGCCAUGGGCCACACCCCUGCUGUCCCAGGGGACUCCCCAAGGCCCCUCACUGCUGUUCCAUCACGCCUGCAACCCGCAGAUGCUCACAAAAGUCUCUGGAAGGAACUGCCUUUAUCAGAGCCGAUUCUUAACCACACCAGAGACUGACUCUCCUUAUUGGGAAGAACUCCUGACUCAUACUUGAACCAAUUCAAAUGCCAUAUUCCUGAUUUGAUUCGAUGGACUUUUGCCUUUCAACCAUUUCUCAAAGGUGACUUUUCCAUAAAGGAUGAAGAAUGGCUUUCCCUGGGGAAUCCUAGGAACAGACCACAGGCUCUGAAGGCAUUUCUGGGAGAUACUUUAAGGCAGUGGCUCUCUACCUUGGCUGCCUCUGAAGCCAAACAGGAAGAUUGAAAACAAAAUACAGACCCCAAACCUCACUCUCAGAAAUUCGGGUGUAGGAAGUCUAAGGCACAGGCUGGUGGAGAGAUUUUUGCUCCCCAGGUGAUUCUAAUGCAUAACCAGGGCAGGAACCCCUGCUCAGCGCCGGGACCAGAAACAUACCUACUGCGCUCCCCGCCCCAGUGGGGUCAGAUGCCUACCUGGACGUUAUAAAUUUUGGAAAUUUGCACAGCCUUCCUCGUCAUAGCUGACCACGAAUGGGUGGCUUGCCCAAGAUCUCAGAGCUGGAAGUACCAGCUCGGCCUCCUUCAAUACUUGUUGAUGGAGUUCCCGUCGUGGCACAGUGGUUAACGAACCAGACUCGUAUCCAUGAGGAUGCAAGUUCAAUCCCUGCCCUUGCCCAGUGGGUUAAGGAUCAGGCAUUGCUGUGAGCUGUGGUGCAGGUCGCAGACAAGGCUUGGAUCCUGGGUUGCUGUGGCUGUGGCGUAGGGCGGCAGCUACAGCUCCGGUCCGACCCCUAGCCUGGGGACCUCCAUAGGCUGGGGGUACGGCCCUAAAAAAGACCAAAACAAUGAAUUUUAAAAAUGAUACUUACUGAGCACCUGUGUCCUGGGCAAUCUCCUAACAAUCAGAAGAUUUUACAAAUCUCUGGAUUUGGGGCCACCGCCACGCAACACUUGCGCAAGGCAGGGCCUACUUGUCGCUGGGUCGGUGGUGCCCUUCCUUGGACCCGCAGGCCCUCUUGGGGCUACCCCUUCUCCAUCCCACGUGGCCUGUUGACUUGACCGAUCUGGCCAUGCCACAUCCACUUUUGUGAGGCCUGCAUUACCCCACGGAUGGAGGGGAAGAACACCCACUUAGAUGCCUAUCUCAUCCCUACUGGAAAAAUCAGUCUUUGAUUUCAUCUAAAGAAACGGGAGCCAGACCCGAUACACAACUGUGGAAAUCCAGCCGAUAAUGACAGAAGGGAAGCACCACACGGACCGUGUCUCUUCAUCUCAAACCGCCUUCAGACGCCCAACCCACUGGCGUCAGAAACCUCCAGGGCCCUUCCCCUUCUGUCUCCACCCAACCCGGUUGCUCGACCAGGUCCUGAAAAUAGUCUGGAUAUCAAACCCAGAUCGGUGGCCACCAGGCAGGCAACACAGAAACCCCUGAGCACAGGAAGCACUGUUCCUACUGCCUUUCAGAAUGAUCCGUGGAGACGCCGCAUUAAAAGGGAAAAUGCCAUCCCACCGUAGAAUGAGACUAUCAAGGGGCAGAACGCAACCCAGCGCAUACACACACACGGGUGGGAACCAUGAAAUACGUUCACGUACAUCCAGCGAGGGCCAGAAGGGAAUGCGAAGGAUCCACGUAAUUUUCGUUUUGUUAAUUAGCCUCUUUCAAAAAAAAGGGCCUUCAUGUUACCAGUUCUCUAAAAAAUGAUGCAAAAAAAUUACUCGCAACUUCCUCAUCUGCAAGAUGGAAUAACAGUGGUACCUGGAGUGCAGGAAUCUGAGAGAACUGAAAGGGUUCGUUGAGAUGCAGCACUGGCACGGAGCCAAGGACGCAAUCUUUGCGAUUUUUGUUAGUAUUCAGGCUCCGAGGCAAUUUAUCGUUCCCUCCCCUCUUCCUUUGCCCAAAAGAAGCAAAUGAAGUGGGUCUACGGACUGCCCGUGACCUCUGCCCAUGACCUCUGCCCAUGACCUUUGCCCAUGAAAUAAAGAUGACCACAUUCAGCUGUGACAUUCUUUCUAAGUAUCAACUCAUGGUUUUGAAUGCUUCCGUGACGGCAGCGUCUAUUACAGAGAAGGUAUUUUGGUCCAAUUCUCUGGCUGGAAGAGCUCUACGGAGGUGCAUGUUUAACCGUCUGUCUGCUUUUCUCUCUCCCUGCAAAGGCUUAUAAACUCCAGGAUGGGAAACGUGCCUAAUUCCUUCCUGCCCCUGCAGUGCCCAGCCCAGUAGCUGGAAGUCACUAAACAUUCACAGUAUUGUGAUAUGAAUAUAAAUCAAGAGAAAGGUGUCCUUAUUCCCACCAGUGGGAUGGUCCUGCAAGCAAUAAAUCUUGGUGCCCUAGUGACAGGCUGUGGCACUGCCUGUCAUUCUCCCGGCUGCCAGCUCACCACCGAAUCCCUUUCCAGGAACCGCCUUCAGGUAAGGGAGCUGUAUUACCCAAAAGGCAUAUCCCCAAAGGGCACCGCACAUCCUCCCCAAGGGCAGCCUGAAUCCAGUAGCACAGGGACAAAGGCCUGGCCCCUUGGCCUCCACGCACGCCCGCUCUGAAGCCCCAUGUCAGCUCCGGAAUUAACUCUGUACAAUUGACCCUUACUGCAACUGCGUCAUAGCCUAACUUUCCCCUCGGCCCAAGCCUGCUCCCCUCACUUCCCAGGAAGGCUUCUGCACACAGAUCUCAUCUCUGAAUCUGUUUCCUGGGAAACCUGGCCUGUGACAGUUGGUACCAGGAUUAAGACCUGGGAGAUGGGAGCAGGUUGGCUCUUCCUGGAAGUUUCUUAUCCCCCUCCGGCACGACUCACUGCCUGACUUUAUUCACGGAUCAUCUCAAAUGCACCAUCUCAGAAAACACGGUCCCGUCUAAUGUUUUCCUGCCCAAACCCAUUGCGAGCAUGUUACGGGCACUCUAUCGCCCGUGCCAUCAUUAAAAUCUGAAAUUGUCUUGCUCUUGCCCCUUGCUUUCUUACGUGUUCAUGGUCAUUCCCCUGCUCGCCCACCAGGAUGCAGGCUCCAGAGGACAGAUACCUUGCCAGGCCGCUCACCACUACCUGUCCAGCUUUUAAGCAUCACUCAGCACAAUGUAAGCCCUUAAGAAACACCUGCUGGAUGAAUGAAUGAGAAGAUGUCCAUUACAUUCAUAAUGGAAAGUACUCGCCUGAGCAUAAGGAGCCCUUACCUCCAGCUCUGUUUCUGCCGUUUAACCACCUGUGUGACCUUAGGCAGGUGCCUUGACCUCUCUGAGUCUGAGUUUUCUCAUCGGCAGAAUGAGGUCGUUGAAUGCGGUCAUCACUGGGGGUUCUGACAGCUCGAGUACAUGAUAAUCUCACAUGAUUAUGCCCCUAGAAAUUACCCAGUCUAUAAACUACAUGGGAAUCAUACAAUGUUUGGGCUGGAAACGAGCUUCCCAGAGCAUUUCGCAACCUCCAGUGAGCAUGGGCUUUCAGAUGCCCAUUUCGUGAUUAUAUAAAUGCUGGAAAAACUGUCAUGGGAGACCCUGCGUUUAGGGGUAUAUUUAACCGAGGGGUCAUCAACGCUUCAAACACCUUGAAAUAACCAUUCUCCUCUUUCCAAAAAACCCCAUGAAAAGCGUGAAGUCUCUUCCUCAAGCCCUAUGAGGAAAUGAUAAGAGGAAAUGGUGGGGGCGCCUGCCCAAGCGCCAGCACGAAUCUGUGCUCCCGGGAAGCCCUGGGAGCAGCGCCUGGCCCCGAGCAAGCCCUCAGGCCAUGCUGGCGCUGAAUGGCCCCCUCUCGCAAGGCAGACAAGUCAUUUGGAGGGGGGGACUCUGAUUACGCACCUUGGAGUUACAGAGACUGAAGCCGGGAGAGAUCGCAUAAUGGACCACACACGUCCUGAGCCGACGAGGGGAGGAGCCGGGGUUGGGUCUGCACCGUCCCCACCCAGAGCUUGCCGUUUAGUCUCCGCACGGUGCUGUCCCCACAGGAGGUUUACUCUCUUGCUUAAACAUGGGAAUCCUGGCUUGGGGACAAAUCGGCCCUCGAUUCUCAGCUGGAGGCGAGGGGUCUGGUCGAGAGCCGAGGGUCUCGGACAUUUCCGCGCACACACACCCGCGGAGCGAUCUCCUCAAAAUGCGGUUCUCCCGCACAAGAUCCUGGGCCGGGCCUGAAACGGGCCUUUCCUCCCUGCUUCCAGGUGCUGCUGGUGCCGCCGGCCCGAGGAUCAGACUUUGAGGAGCAAUGGUGCAGAAGAGGGCACUCCCGCUAGAAGUCACGCACUAGCUGCUGGCCCGGCCCUGGCACAGCCUGGCGAGUGGACCAUGGCCAAGCUGCCCCUCACCUCUCCAGCACCCAGCGCCCUUGCCGGCAAUAUGGAGCUGACUCCACCCUUGUACUUACUGCCCGGGGUGUUCACGGCGACCAAACCACAGGGUGUGUGUAAAAAGCACAUCCUAAAACAGAAAACUCAUCAGCAUCGGGGGGGCAGCCCACUGGCCUAGAGCCCUCUGGGAUGUGGGUCCUUGAGAGGCCUCCAGCACAGUGCCUGUCAUACAGUAGGCAAUUACUAGUGUUCCAUCAGAGAGCCGACCACGUAAAAGUCCUGUCGAAUUUAAUCUUCCCAAGAUCUCUGAUUCACAUUUUCAUUUCCUACCACACUGCAUACCACGCCCCCGCCACCCACACAGUCAGUGCGGGGCCCUGGAUUCAAACUGAGAUCUGUCUGAUGGAUAAACCUCCAAAAUACACAAACAGCUCAUGCAGCUUAAAUAAAUAAAGGGCGGAAGAUCUAAACAGACGUUCCUCCAAAGAGGACAUACAGAUGGCCAAUAAGCACAUGAAAAGAUGCUCAGCAUUGCUAAUUAUUACAGAAAUGCACAUCAAAACUACCAUGAGGUACCACCUCACACCAGUCAGGAUCCAUCACCAAAAAGUCUACAAACAAUAAAUGCUAGAGAGGGUGGAGAGAAAAGGGAACCCUCUGACACUGUUGGUGGGAGUGCAAGCUGGUACAACCACUGUGGAGGUUCCUCAAAAAAAUGAAAUAUAGAACUACCAUAUGAUCCAGCAAUCCCACUCCUGAGCACAUAUCCAUGGAAAACCAUAAUUCAAAAAGACGCAUGCACCUCAAUUUUCAUCAAAGCACCACGUACCAGAGCCAAGACAUGGCAGCAACCUAAAUAUCCAUGGACAGAGGAAUGGAUAAAGGUGUGGUACAUAUAUACAGUGGAAUAUUACUCACCCAUAAAAAAGAAUAAAAUAAUGCCAUUUGCAGCAACAUGGAUGGACUUAAAGAUUAUCAUACUAAGUCAGACAGAGAAAGAUAAACAAAUAUCAUGUGAUAUAACCGAAGGGGAAAGAGGGAUGGGAGGGAUAAAAUACGAUGACUUAGGGGUUAACAUGCAAACACCACCAUAUACAAAAUAAUUAGGGCCUACCAUAGAGAACGGAGAAAUCUACUAAAUGCCAUGGAAUAACCCAUAUGGGCAGAGUCUGAAAAGGAGUGCAGUAUGUACAUGUGUAACCGAAUCACUUCGCUGUACACCUGACACUAACGCAUUGUAAAUCAACUCUACUCUAAUACAAAAUAAAAAAUUCAUUUAAAAAGCCCUGCGAUCUGUCUGGUUCCCAAACCAAGGCCGCCUGUACCCUUCAUUCCU